rnacentral:tRNA from 1 species
CCUAUUACUUGUUCCACUGAGUAAGAAGGGUACACGUCACAGAUUCUACCGAGAUUCGAACUCGGAUUGCUGGAUUCAGAGUCCAAAAUGCUCAACAUUACAUUACGGAACCGACGUUGAGCAUAUCUACUGUUCGGCUUAGAUUAGCUACCAACAACGAACAGAAAGCAAUGUGCUAGUGAGCAGCCCGAUGUGUUUCAAAGAAAAACGAGCCAGGCAGGAGUCGAACCUACAAUCUUCUGAUCCGUAGUCAGACGCGUUAUCCAUUGCGCCACUGGCCCCGCUGACAGAGCUGCAUCGCACCACAGUGAGCUCCGCGCCGCUAUUGGUACGGCAUCGCCCCGCUCCAGCUUUUCUAACUUGGAUACAGGUGUUGCAUUUUUUUCUACGUUGCGAUCAGAUGAGUCUCAAAUGCCCAGUCCGACAGUAACUGAGCCGGAAUGGAUUGAGAGCUGGAACGAGCUCAUACUCGCUCCCUGUGCUGAAACAGACUUAGCGCUUCCCCGAGCACCGUCUAGAGCUGCUGGAUAGGGCUUUGCGUCCUACUGCUGCUGUCUGCCAGCAGUGACUUUGACGAAGAAUAAGACCGGCAAGACUGCAGUAGGCACGGAAUGAAGACACCCGCAUAUCCACCUUCUUUUUUAGUGAGACGCAAUCACCGUAUCGGACUAACAGCAAUUAUCCUGUUAAACUGCAGCGAAGCGCUCUUACACGCGACUACAUCAGCGCUCUUCCUCUCACAAAUGGCCCGGAGCGCAGGAGAGGAGUAUCUGGAGCCCGACGGUUGUGGUUAUAUCAUGUUUGACUGUUUUUGCACCAGCCGGGAAUCGAACCCGGGUCGCAAGAAUGGGAAUCUUGCAUGAUACCACUACACCACUGGCGCACCUGAGAAAUGAGUCUCCACACGGCUACUUGAGCGCUCUUUCCUCUCACAAAUGACUCAGAGCGCAGGAGCGGAGUAUCUGGAGCCCGAUGGUUAUUGAUCGGUGAUUGUUAAGCAGGACUCCAAAUCUCUGUCGAACCUGAGCGCAGAUUCUUCUUAAUGAUCACACCUGAAGAAGACUCACACCUGAGCAUGGA